rnacentral:rRNA from 1 species
UAAGCAACCUGCCUAUCAGAGGGGAACAACAGUUAGAAAUGACUGCUAAUACCGCAUAUACCUAAGCAUCGCAUGAUGCAAUAGGGAAAGGAGCAAUCCGCUGAUAGAUGGGCUUGCGUCUGAUUAGCUAGUUGGUGGGGUAACGGCCUACCAAGGCGACGAUCAGUAGCCGGACUGAGAGGUUGAACGGCCACAUUGGGACUGAGAUACGGCCCAGACUCCUACGGAAGGCAGCAG